UACGUAGGGCUCAAGCGUUGUUCGGAUUCAUUGGGCGUAAAGGGUGCGUAGGCGGUCGUGCAAGUCGGAUGUGAAAUCUCAGGGCUCAACCCUGAAACUGCAUUCGAUACUGCGCGGCUAGAGUGCUGGAGGGGAGACUGGAAUUUACGGUGUAGCAGUGAAAUGCGUAGAUAUCGUAAGGAAGACCAGUGGCGAAGGCGAGCCUCUGGACAGCAACUGACGCUGAGGCACGAAGGCGUGGGGAGCAAACGGG
rnacentral:rRNA from 1 species